UAUAGGGUUACGGUUUCUGCUGUUCAUGAAAUGUUACUUCCAAACUAAACUUCAUUCGUUUUUAUACUGAUCCCUUUAAAUCUAUAUUUUUAUUUUGCUCACCCUUAUGCACACUGAAAUAGAUUACCUGCCCAGCACAAGCCAUGAACUCAGACAGGACCRUCCCAGUCAUGCAGGUGACAUCAACAAUGACAUCCCAGCCAACAAUCAGGAAGUUGAACCAUGGAAAAAGGUCAGUGAUCCCCAAGAUGCAGCAUUGCUGUUUAAGAGGCAUCUCUUAAAGGAAGAGAAGAACCCCUCUAUCACAGCUUGCAUAAAUAUUACAGAGGACCAAACAUCCCUGAGUCGUGACAUAAUUUCUUUCUACAAAAGACCACAGACUGACUGGGCAAGACCUUUUCAAUGUUUUUUAAAAGGUGACACAGCUGUUGGCACUGGGGUCCAGAGACAUUUUUUCAGCUUGGCAAUGCUAAAAUUGCAACAUAGCUUUAACCUCAAUAGUGG